UAGAAGGGGAGAAUGGAGUGUGCGCAUGUGCAGGACUUUUCCGGAGUGUGCGCAUGUGCGAAGUAUUUCGAGCAGGAAAGGCCUGCGGAAUCAACCAUGUUUGCCAGACGUUUCUGAGUUCAUGUAUUAAAGAAAUAAGUUGCUUAAAGCUUAAAUAAGUUAAGUAAAUUACGA